AAGGGGCGCCUGGGAGGGUGAGAGGCUCGUCCGGCCUGGACCAUGUCGCCCCACGAGGCACCGUCAACGAGUCAGGUUGUUUGGCAAUGCAGCCCAAAUCGGGCGGUUGGCUCCCUCCAAGGCUAAAUACAGGCGAGAGACAGACAGCGAACAAGUACCCCGAGGGAAAGAUGAAAGAGACUUUGAAAAGAGAGUCAAAGAG
rnacentral:ncRNA from 1 species